UUUGAACGCUGGCGGCAGGCCUAACACAUGCAAGUCGAACUGUAGCACAGAGAGCUUGCUAUUGGGUGACGAGUGGCGGACGGGUGAGUAAUGUCUGGGAAACUGCCCGAUGGAGGGGGAUAACUACUGGAACCGGUAGCUAAUACCGCAUAACGUCGUCGGACCAAAGAGUGGGACCUUCGGGCCUCACGCCAUCGGCUUGGCCCAGAUGGCAUUAGCUAGUAGGAGGGGUCACGGCUCACCUAGGCGACGAUCCCUAGCUGGGCUGAGAGGAUGACCAGCCACACUGGAACUGAGACACGGUCCAGACUCCUACGGGAGGCAGCAGUGGGGAAUAUUGCACAAUGGGCGCAAGCCUGAUGCAGCCAUGCCGCGUGUAUGAAGAAGGCCUUCGGGUUGUAAAGUACUUUCAGCGGGGAGGAAGGCGAUACGGUUAAUAACCAUGUCGAUUGACGUUACCCGCAGAAGAAGCACCGGCUAACUCCGUGCCAGCCGCCGCCGUAA
rnacentral:rRNA from 1 species